rnacentral:rRNA from 1 species
GACGAACGCUGGCGGCGUGCUAAUACAUGCAAGUCGAGCGGACCAAUUAGAAAGCUUGCUUUUUGAUUGGUUAGCGGCGGACGGGUGAGUAACACGUGGGUAACCUGCCCUAUAGACCGGGAUAACUCGCGGAAACGCGUGCUAAUACCGGAUAACACCCCGAAGCGCAUGCUUCGGGGUUGAAAGAUGGUUCUGCUAUCACUAUAGGAUGGGCCCGCGGCGCAUUAGCUGGUUGGUGGGGUAACGGCCUACCAAGGCGACGAUGCGUAGCCGACCUGAGAGGGUGAUCGGCCACACUGGGACUGAGACACGGCCCAGACUCCUACGGGAGGCAGCAGUAGGGAAUCUUCCACAAUGGGCGAAAGCCUGAUGGAGCAACGCCGCGUGAGCGAAGAAGGUCUUCGGAUCGUAAAGCUCUGUUGUAAGGGAAGAACAAGCGCAGCAGUUACUGGCUGCGCCCUGACGGUACCUUACUAGAAAGCCACGGCUAACUACGUG